AAUAAGUGCAGCCGUGAAAAUCCGUAUCUAAUAUUUGACCAUCCGUCUUAUUUAAAAAAUUUAUAAAAAAAAUUAGUCACACAUAAAGUACUAUUCAUAUUUUAUCAUCUAAUAACAUUAAAAAUAGUAAUCAUAAAAAGAAUUUCAAAUAAAAUGAACGGUCAACGUUAGACAUGAAUAAUAUAAAACUGUAUUUAUU
rnacentral:pre_miRNA from 1 species